UAAAUGUGAUAUUAUGAAAAAUAAGGAAUCAUUCCUCAACAUGAUUUUCAAAGUUUUUCAGUAAGCUCCGGGACGAUUUCAAAUAAGUCACCUACAAUUCCCACAUCUGCUGUUUGAAAGAUAGGAGCAUUUUCAUCGCGAUUUAUAGCAGCAAUGACUUUGCUAUCUUUGAUUCCGGCAAGAUGCUGAAUAGCACCAUCAAUUCCAACAGCAAUAUAAAGCUUUGGGGCGAUGAUUUUUCCAGUUUGACCUAUUUGUAAAGAAUUAUCAGCAUAGCCAGAAUCCACGGCAACACGUGUAGCACCAAUUGCUGCACCCAAUUUGUCAGCCAAAGGUGUAAGGAUGCGUUCAAAUGUCUCUUUGUCUUUCAAAGGUCGACCACCAGCAACAACUCUUUCGGCAGAAGACAAAUCAGGCCUAGCAUUCUUUAUAAUAUUCUCACUAACCCAUUCUUGUAGAGCAGCUGGUUUUGGAUCAAUACCUUCAACAACAGUGGCUGCUCCUUCACCACUUGAAGGAGCGGCGUCAAAUGCAGAUGCACGAACGGUGACGAUUUUAAUAGGAUCCUUUGUAGACACAGUAACGUUUACGUUUCCCGCGUAUGUCGGACGAACGAAUGUGUCAGCAGAAACCACACCAAUAAUGUCACUAAUCUGCAUCACAUCAAACAUAGCAGCCAAACGAGGCAUCACCCCUUUACCAACAGUUGAAUGAGCAGAAAAAACAUGACUAAUUUCAUUUUUCUUAACAUUUUCAAAAAGAACAUUGGCUAUUUGAUCGGGAAUGUUAUGCUCAUAUGACGGAUUCUCAACGUAGAUAACCUUUUUCAAAUCGUUCACCGAUUUUGCUACCUUUUGAGAAAUUUGAGAAGAAUCCUUACCGAUUACAAAUCCAAAAACAUCCCCACCGGUACGCUUUGCUGCUUCUACUGCUGACAAGGAUGCUGGAGACAAGUUCCCUCCCUGAUGCUCAAGCAACGUCAAAACACUAAACCAAUGCCUUCUUCCACAAUUUAUUUUAAAGUUAGAAGAAGACAAAGCCCUAGAAAAUGUCCGGCUAGUAGUCCUUAGCAUGUUAGAAUACUUCGUUGUAGGUUUGAGGGUGAAUGAGGAUGUACGCUGACAAUAUGUAUGUUCACAUAUUAUACUAAGAAAAAA